rnacentral:rRNA from 1 species
UACGAAGGGGGCUAGCGUUGCUCGGAAUGACUGGGCGUAAAGGGCGCGUAGGCGGAUGGCACAGUCAGAUGUGAAAUUCCCGGGCUUAACCUGGGGGCUGCAUUUGAUACGUGUUGUCUUGAGUUGGAAGAGGGUCGUGGAAUUCCCAGUGUAGAGGUGAAAUUCGUAGAUAUUGGGAAGAACACCGGUGGCGAAGGCGGCGACCUGGUCCGACACUGACGCUGAGGCGCGAAAGCGUGGGGAGCAAACAGG